AGCUAGUUGGUGAGGUAACGGCCCACCAAGGCGACGAUCGGUAGCCGGACUGAGAGGUUGAACGGCCACAUUGGGACUGAGACACGGCCCAGACUCCUACGGGAGGCAGCAGUGGGGAAUAUUGCACAAUGGGGGAAACCCUGAUGCAGCGACGCCGCGUGGAGGAAGAAGGUCUUCGGAUUGUAAACUCCUGUUGUUGAGGAAGAUAAUGACGGUACUCAACAAGGAAGUGACGGCUAACUACGUGCCAGCAGCCGCGGUAAAACGUAGGUCACAAGCGUUGUCCGGAAUUACUGGGUGUAAAGGGAGCGCAGGCGGGAAGACAAGUUGGAAGUGAAAUCCAUGGGCUCAACCCAUGAACUGCUUUCAAAACUGUUUUUCUUGAGUAGUGCAGAGGUAGGCGGAGUUCCCGGUGUAGCGGUGGAAUGCGUAGAUAUCGGGAGGAACACCAGUGGCGAAGGCGGCCUACUGGGCACCAACUGACGCUGAGGCUCGAAAGUGUGGGUAGCAAACAGGAUUAGAUACCCUGGUAGUCCACACUGCAAACGAUGAUUACUAGGUGUUGGAGGAUUGACCCCUUCAGUGCCGCAGUUAACACAAUAAGUAAUCCACCUGGGGAGUACGACCGCAAGGUUGAAACUCAAAGGAAUUGACGGGGGCCCGCACAAGCAGUGGAGUAUGUGGUUUAAUUCGACGCAACGCGAAGAACCUUACCAAGUCUUGACAUCCUGCGACGCACAUAGAAAUAUGUGUUUCCUUCGGGACGCAGAGACAGGUGGUGCAUGGUUGUCGUCAGCUCGUGUCGUGAGAUGUUGGGUUAAGUCCCGCAACGAGCGCAACCCUUAUGGUCAGUUACUACGCAAGAGGACUCUGGCCAGACUGCCGUUGACAAAACGGAGGAAGGUGGGGAUGACGUCAAAUCAUCAUGCCCUUUAUGACUUGGGCUACACACGUACUACAAUGGCGUUAAACAAAGAGAAGCAAGACCGCGAGGUGGAGCAAAACUCAGAAACAACGUCCCAGUUCGGACUGCAGGCUGCAACUCGCCUGCACGAAGUCGGAAUUGCUAGUAAUCGCAGAUCAGCAUGCUGCGGUGAAUACGUUCCCGGGCCUUGUACACACCGCCCGUCACACCAUGAGAGCCGGGGGGACCCGAAGUCGGUAGUCUAACCGCAAGGAGGACGCCGCCGAAGGUAAAACUGGUGAUUGGGGUGAAGUCGUAACAAGGUAGCCGUAGGAGAACCUGCGGCUG
rnacentral:rRNA from 1 species